GGUUAAGUGACGAAGCGUAUACGGUGGAUGCCUUGGCAGUUAGAGGCGAUGAAGGACGUGUAAGUCUGCGAAAAGCUGUGGUGAGCUGACAAAAAGCAUUUGAGCCACAGAUGUCCGAAUGGGGAAACCCACCUGUUUACAGGUAUCGUUGCGUGAAUACAUAGCGUAACGAGGCGAACGAGGGGAACUGAAACAUCUAAGUACCCUUAGGAAAAGAAAUCAACCGAGAUUCCCCUAGUAGCGGCGAGCGAACGGGGAGCAGCCCUUAAGCUGCUUAAGAUUUAGUGGAAGCCUCUGGGAAGUGGCGCGAUACAGGGUGAUAGCCCCGUACACGUAGGAUCUUUUGUAGUGA
rnacentral:rRNA from 1 species